rnacentral:lncRNA from 1 species
GUAAACAAAACUCACACCUUUAUUAGGCUGUAUGGCUUUUAAAGAGUAUGACUGAAGACUAAAAAGAUGGACACACUGUUUUACAUAACAUCUCCAGAACAUGCAGUGGCUAUAAUUUCCACAUACUGACCUUUAAAUGGGAAAAGACGUAAAAAGUUGUGGCCAAGAAUACACUUGGAAGUUUCAGUAUCUUAUUCUGUACAUUGAAUAAGUGAAAGUGAAUGGCAUUUGUCACAAUGCAGACUAAUUUUCUGUCUGGGUUGUCCCCAGUUAAUGUGGUUUUUUUUUUUUCCUUUUUUUUCCCCAGAAUUAUGAAUGAGAAUGGGAAGCGUGUAUGUCAAGGGAAUCAUAUUCCCUUAGCAGAAAGGGAACAGAUACCUAAACUAUCAUGCACAGUCAAGGCUGGGGAAAUUUCUCCGUGUCAGCCUGGUGAGGGACAGCCAUGCAGCCUGAGGAGACCAGCUUCCAGGAGGAAAAAUGAUGCUCAAGCUGUCACUUGCUGUAUGCAAAUGUAUCAGUAUCUUGUUUCAGGUACUUCACAGAUACCUUGGACUCUUCUGCUGGGACUGUGACUCAGCCUGCUUCAGCUUUCCUGAAACUGAUUGAAGACAAUAUAUCUUUGCUGUUGCUUCUGAUAAAUGAAUAAUUUCCAGCAGCUCAGGAUGCUUGAAAAUAGUCAUGAUCCAGCCAGCGUGACUGAGUGACCCUACAAAUAGCAAACAUCUGAAUGUGGCCCGACAUGUAUAAACAACCCUCCAAUAAUAACUUGGUGUGUGCAGUCCAGCAGGUGGGAACAAUCCUAUUGCUGCAUAGCUAAAUAGGCUGUUGAGUGUGUGAUGGAAGCAGCAGAUUUGAAUGACUUCAGUUUUCUUAGUUUUACAUGUGCAAAUACCGGUUGUUUUUGUUUUUUUUUUUCUUUUUUAUUUUUAUUGAGUAAAUACCAUUCCCUAGAUUUGCAGACCUGUGUUGUUUUUCAUCAACAGCAUCCAAUCUGUCGCUAAACUUGCUUUUCUGGAACCUCUCCCUUUCUCUGCAGCUCUGCUCCCAGCUCUUAGCCAUGCCUAAGUCCUCUUGCACCUUACUGCUCCUUCAGCAGCUCGGCCCACAUGAUGAAGCUGUUCAUAAGGAAUAGCCUCCACCCCCGAGUAUCCUGAGCAAGCCCUAGUUAUUAUCAGCUUUCCUCUUGGAAAGAGGUAAAGUAAAGCUCAGAGUGUGAGAGAGACUAAAAAUGAAGAAAAUGUUAUUGUUAUUUCUGAAUGGUAUUUCCAUAUGGUCAGGAAGCAGAAAGAUGGUCAGGUUAUGUAAUUGACUUUGCAAAAAAAAAAACUUCUUGAGCUGGUAAAUUAAGGUGGAAAUGGGGGAAAAUAAAAGCUUUUAGGUUCAAAAAGGAAUGUGACA